UCAACGCAUGUGAUCCCAUAGUCACCGAAGCUAGCGGCUGCUUCCUCUUCCGCCUCCCAUAACUGACGAAUCAAUCAAGCGAUUUCCUCUUCCCCGGUUAUUACUCCCUCAACUCUCCUCUCCCAUGGAGCUCCAUCUCUCUUGAUCCCCCCAUCUGUCUCUCUGCGUCGCUCAGGCUUCCGGCUGCCUCGUGGUGCAUCCCGCCUCCGCUCUCACAUCCUUCGGCCGCCCCCGUGCGCGGCGCGCCUUGUCACAGAUGAUUCAGUCAUCGGCCGAUCGCUAGGAACCACAAGCUUACAGCUUUGAUCUUUGGAAGGAAUGAUGACAUGGAGCCAAAACCCCUACCGUUCUAUGUAGGAAAGUCAUGGCUAUGGAGAUGCCUCGUGAUCACAGCCAACAUAUGAAGCACAUCAUCGUGCUUUUUCACAUGGACAGACGAUCAGGUAGCAUAUAUCUUUUUUGAAUACACAGUGUUUGUUUGCUAAUAUAUAUCUUUAUUUUUCUCAUGCCUUUCAACAAAUUACUGACGUGUUAUGGGUGUUUACCAAGACAUAAUUUUUUUCCUUCACAAAUAAGCCUUUCCACUUUACUGCCUUUGUUGCCAGUUAUAUCAGCAUUAUAUUGUCUAAGGUGUCAUUCCUUUCCUCUCUGAAUUUGGAGCUAUGCUUUGUUGACAGUUUGCAAGUUUGCAAUUUACUCCACUGAACAGGUCAAUGUACAAUUUCUGUUCACAACAGGUUGUCAUAUAGGAGCUGCAGCUUGAAACCAUCUAUUGGUAUGCCUUUGCGUGGUUUCUUAUAAGUAUAGAGGCAUCAUAAUUCAAUAUAUGCACACAUCUUAAAUAUGUUACAAUUUACAUACUAUUUUGUUUGUGACGCACACAUAAUUAAAUGCCUAUUAAUUGAUUCAUGGAAUGAUAUGCCGGUGUAGCGAAUAAGUAAUUUCAUGCACUGCAUAUUUCUCCUUCUUAAAUCGUUGUUAAUUGUUGUAAUAUAUAUUGUUUUUUUAUUUGUAUACCUUUUCUUGCCUGCUGCACACUGUCCAUUUUGAAGAGGUAUAGAAAAUUACUAUUGCGCCCAUCUAUUUUUUGUGACCUUUCAUCUAUGUGAUCCUUUAUUCUUUUCUUGCUUCAUGCAUUGGUGAAAUGCAACAUGUUUUUUCCUUCGAUGUAUUUUUUACACUUAUUUAGUCUUAGCAAAAUGUCGCAAAUAGAGAUCAUAUAUACGUUGGGUUGUUGCUUAUCCAAGAACACUUUGAAGAAGUUGAGGUCGGCUUUGAGUUUUCAAUGAUUUGUUUCCUACCAAUGCUAUGGUUUAAUUUUCACAUCUUAUAAUUUCUUGGUCAACUAUUGUUUCACAAUCGAAUUUAAGAUUAGUUUGUAAUCCAUGAAUACUUCGCAAGCAAUUUAGAAUUAACACAGAUGGCUAUAGAUAGUGAUCAUGUCUGAUGUGGCAAAGUAAAUCAUCCAUCGUUUGUUUGUGAGACCCCAAAACCAAGAUGCGAUUUUCUUCCCACUGAUUAGUUGGAGAUGCUUUGUGCAAACUUAGUGUUUAGUGCAUCUGUUUUGAUGCUUUAGGGUACGUCAUGCUUCAAAGCCAAAACAAGUUGUAGCCAAUUUUACAAUGCUUUGUGCUAAUUUAGUAUAUCGAUUCAGGUUUCUAACUAAGCAUAGUUCCCUUCUAUAGACAACUUAAACUUUUAUAGAUAGCACACAACUUUUACUUGAUGAGGAUAGUUCGUCAUAUAUGGAGCCAUAAAGAUCAGGACGACCAAAUUUUAUCAAAAUAUAGUGCAACCGAUUCCCGCAGCAACGUGCGGGGUAUCAUCUAGUAGCCCCAGCUCACGGUCGCCUGCUGCGGCCUCCCCUGAGGAGCCCGUCUCUUCUGCUUUCAGCAACCCCGGCCCUGGAGCCGGUCUUUGCAGAGCCGUCCUCACCUCAUGUCGCCGCGCAACGGCCGCCUGCGCCACAUCCGAUGACAACACGGCUCCGGGGCAACAUUGUCCAGAAGUUCGUGCCAACUGACAGCACCGUGCACUAUGACCCUCGUCGACGUGCCUUCCAUGCUGAGACACGGUCCUAUCGCCUCGCCCUCGCUGAUGCACAGCGGCGGUCUGCCAUGGAGGAUGAGUUUUCUGCUCUUCAACAGAACAACACUUGGACCCUUGUGCGCCUCGUCCUUCUGGCAAGAACAUCAUAAGUUGUAAGUGGGUAUUUAAAGUGAAGCACGAGUCUGAUGGCUCCUUGGACAAAUUCAAAGCUUGCCUCGUUGCUCGCGGGUUUACUCAGCAGCAUGGUAUUGAUUACACGGAUACGUUUUGUCCUGUCGUCAAACCAGCCACGGUGCGUCUUGUGCUUUCUUUGGCUGUGUGUCGUGGAUGGCACCUGCGUCAAGUGGACAUCAGCAAUGCUUUCUUGCAUGGUUUACUCACUGAAGAAGCCUAUAUGCAGCAGCCUCCCGGUUUCCAUGAUAAUGUCCAUCCUGAUUAUGUCUGCAAGUUGCACAAAGCAUUAUAUGGGUUAAAACAGUCACCUAGGGCCUGGUAUGCUCGCCUCAGCGAUCGUCUUCAGCAGUUGGGCUUCCACUCGUCAGCAGCUGACACUUCCUUGUUCAUCUUUGUCCAUGGUGAUGUUACUAUGUAUAUGCUUGUGUAUGUUGAUGACAUUGUCAUAGUCAGCUCCUCUUCAUCAGCACCGGAUCGUCUUCUCCGUCAACUCUCUGCCACAUUCCCUGUCAAGGAUCUUGGCACCCUUCGCUAUUUUCUCGGUAUUGAAGUGCUUCCCAAUUCCAGGGGAAUGACUCUCAUACAGAAGAACUACGCCCUUGAUUUUCUACAGCGUACUGACAUGGCCAAUUGUAAAGCAGUCUCAAGUCUCAACACCGAUGUGUACUCAUGAGAAGCUCAACAGAGGCACUGGACACCGGCUGAAUGAGGAUGAAGCAUUCAGAUAUAGGAGCAUGGUGGGAGCCCUUCAGUACCUAACCUUGACAUGGCCUGACCUGUCGUUUGCAGUAAACAAGGUCUACCAAUUACUGUCAUGUCCCACCGAUCUUCACUAGGAAGCGGUCAAGCGUAUUCUUCGCUUUGUAAAGGGUACAGUGGCUACAGGUUUGACUAUUCGACGGUCAUCUUCUACUCUGCUAAGUGUGUUUACAGAUGCUGAUUGGGCCGGUUGUGGUGACGACAGACGUUCGACGGGUGGGUUCGCUGUGUUCUUCGGACCCAACCUCAUUUCGUGGAGUGCAUGGAAGCAGCCGACAGUCUCACGAUCGUCAACCGAAGCAGAGUAUAAGGCAUUAGCAAAUGGUACAGCAGAGGCAACGUGGGUACAGUCAUUGUUGAAAGAGUUGCGAGUUCCUCAACCUCGAGCUCCGGUUUUGUGGUGUGACAACCUCGGUGCGAUGUACCUCACAGCAAAUCCUGUGUUUCAUGCUCGCACCAAGCAUAUAUCGACGUAGACUUCCACUUUGUUCGAGAGAAGGUAGCCAUGUGAGCUCUUGAAGUCCGGUUCAUCUCUUCAGCUGACCAAGUGGCAGAUGCAUUCACUAGACCACUCACGAAGACAAUGCUAACCCGGCUGCGUUCCGAUCUCAACCUUUGUACAGGCUGAGAUUGCGGGGGAAUGUUAAACAACCGUGUAGAUUAAGUUAGCUCAGGCUAACCGUAUUGGUGCAUAUCCUUGUAUAGCACGCCAUGUAUAUCUUGUA